rnacentral:rRNA from 1 species
GCAAGUCGAACGAGGUAGCAAUACCUAGUGGCGCACGGGUGAGUAACGCGUGGAUAAUCUGCCCUUCACUGGGGAAUAACUAAUCGAAAGGUUAGCUAAUACCGCAUGAGGCCACAGUUUCUGAGGAAGCAGUGGUUAAAGAUUUAUUGGUGAAGGAUGAGUCUGCGUGGGAUUAGCUAGUUGGUGAGGUAAUGGCUCACCAAGGCUACGAUCUCUAACAGGUCUGAGAGGAUGACCUGUCACACUGGAACUGAGACACGGUCCAGACUCCUACGGGAGGCAGCAGUAGGGAAUAUUGCGCAAUGGACGAAAGUCUGACGCAGCGACGCCGCGUGAGUGAUGAAGGCCUUAGGGUCGUAAAGCUCUGUUGCAGGGGAAGAAAAAAAUGACGGUACCCUGCGAGAAAGGAUCGGCUAACUUCGUGCCAGCAGCCGCGGUAAGACGAGGGAUCCUAGCGUUGUUCGGAAUCAUUGGGCGUAAAGCGCAUGUAGGCUGCCAUUCAAGUCAGUUGUGAAAGCCCCGGGCUCAACCCGGGAAGUGCUUCUGAUACUGUUUGGCUUGAGUACUAGAGAGGAUAGUAGAAUUCCAGGUGUAGUGGUGAAAUACGUAGAUAUCUGGAGGAAUACC